rnacentral:ncRNA from 1 species
UCGCACUUCUGGCAGGCGCGCGCCAACGUCGGUUAGGGCUGGGUUUCAAAGGCGGUGGAAAGGUAGGUUUGGACUCUCGGGCCCGAACUGUUACAGUCCUCCGUUCGUCAUGGCCCGGACCUGACCGAGGAGCUUGCGGUGCAUGCCGUUCGGCUAGGGUCCCGUCUUCCCGGUCGGUCGUCGAAUGCGGUGGACUGCGUGCAGUGCGCCGCGACUGCUGCCGGUCGCGAGGGCGGUGAUUUCGUACUAUGCACCCACGACGUUGGCGGUCAUAUGGCCUCAUCCGACCCGUCUUGAAACACGGACCAAGGAGUCUAACAUGUGUGCGAGUCUUUGAGUGAUCGAAACUCCGAGGCGUAAUGAAAGUGAAGGCGACUUCGGUCGCUGAGGUGAGAGCCUUUUUCCACAAAAAAAAGGCGCAUCAUCGACCGACCUAUUCUACUCUUAGAAAGGUUUGAGUAAGAGCGCAUCUGUUGGGACCCGAAAGAUGGUGAACUAUGCCUGAAUAGGGUGAAGCCAGAGGAAACUCUGGUGGAGGCUCGUAGCGAUUCUGACGUGCAAAUCGAUCGUCAAAUUUGGGUAUAGGGGCGAAAGACUAAUCGAACUGUCUAGUAGCUGGUUCCCUCCGAAGUUUCCCUCAGGAUAGCUGGAACUUACGGCAGUUUUAUCAGGUAAAGCGAAUGAUUAGAGGUCUUAGGGUUAAAACAACCUUAACCUAUUCUCAAACUUUAAAUUGGUAAGAAGUCCGACUUGCUUAAUUGAAGCCGCCCAGUGAAUGCGAGUUCCUAGUGGGCCAUUUUUGGUAAGCAGAACUGGCGAUGC